UUCAUAAAUAAUAUAUUUUAGAAUGGACUCCAGAAGUGGUUCGAUGUACAUUUUACAAGCAUGGAAUAAUUGACGAUAAGGCUGUAAUUAUAAAAAAUGAACUUUUCACAAAUUACGGAUAUAUAAUUUCCGAUGAGAGCAAAUUAAAUCAAGCAAAAGAGAUCUUUACUAAGUGUGACGAACAAGCAAAACAACGGCCAGGAACUAACGAGGAGAAGCUUAUGAUAAUUAUAACAUGUGCAAUGCCAAUAAAAGAUCUACUCGACAAACCCCCCCAAUGAAAGAAAGAAGAUCAUUUUUUCUUUCACAUAAUAUUCAUAAGUAUUCAUAUAAAAUAAUAAAGAUGAAGAGA